rnacentral:rRNA from 1 species
UACGUAGGGUGCAAGCGUUUAAUCGGAAUUACUGGGCGUAAAGCGUGCGCAGGCGGUUAUGUAAGACAGUUGUGAAAUCCCCCGGGCUCAACCUGGGAACUGCAUCUGUGACUGCAUAGCUAGAGUACGGUAGAGGGGGAUGGAAUUCCGCGUGUAGCAGUGAAAUGCGUAGAUAUGCGGAGGAACACCGAUGGCGAAGGCAAUCCCCUGGACCUGUACUGA